rnacentral:rRNA from 1 species
AAUAGAUACCCUGGUAGUCCACGCCGUAAACGAUGUCGACUUGGAGGUUGUUCCCUUGAGGAGUGGCUUCCGGAGCUAACGCGUUAAGUCGACCGCCUGGGGAGUACGGCCGCAAGGUUAAAACUCAAAUGAAUUGACGGGGGCCCGCACAAGCGGUGGAGCAUGUGGUUUAAUUCGAUGCAACGCGAAGAACCUUACCUACUCUUGACAUCCAGAGAACUUUCCAGAGAUGGAUUGGUGCCUUCGGGAACUCUGAGACAGGUGCUGCAUGGCUGUCGUCAGCUCGUGUUGUGAAAUGUUGGGUUAAGUCCCGCAACGAGCGCAACCCGUUAUCCUUUGUUGCCAGCGGUUCGGCCGGGAACUCAAAGGAGACUGCCAGUGAUAAACUGGAGGAAGUGGGGAUGACGUCAAGUCAUCAUGGCCCUUACGAGUAGGGCUACACGCGUGCUACAAUGGCGUAUCAAAGAGAAGCGACCUCGCGAGAGCAAGCGGACCUCAUAAAGUACCGUCGUAGUCCGGAUUGGAGU